UUCCCCUUUCAGGACUGGAGACAAAUGUUUAAAGGAUGAUCCUAGCUAACAAAGUAACAUCUGGCACUUAGUAUCUUGCUGUGACUGAUUGUCUGAUAUAUCACCCCAAAGUGAGGUGCAGUAGAGCCCUAGAAUGCAAAAUGCUUCCUAUAGCGUCAAUACUCCCAGUGAGAUGAGAAACAUUGAAUGAGGAGACUGUGUUGGGACAGAGAGGCCAAAGAAAAAACUGAUUUUCCUACCCUGGAUAUUCUGAAAUGCACCGCUUCUCCACGCCGCCUUUCCUCAUUGACUAUUAUUACCAAUUCAUAUCAUGAAUUGACGUUGAAUUUUGAUCAACGCUUUUUCUGCACCUGUUGAACUGUCAUACAAUUUUUCUCCUUAAAUUAAUAUGUAAAUCACAUUGUUUGACUUUAAUGUUCAACCAAAAAUGUAUUAUUCUUUUUCUAUAUUGCUGUAUUUUAUAUGCCUAUACUUUGUUGAGAAUUAUUGUGUAUAUUUUUAUAAGAAAUGUUAAUUUGUAAUUUUUUAAAAAAUUUUUAAUUGCUAUUGAGAUGGACAUAAUUAAUCAUGUUAAUUGUGUUGAUUGUGAGCUCCAUUCUGUGUGAAUAGAAACCAUAUCAAACAACAUCAGUAGAAAUGUGUUUUUAUCAGACAGCUUUUGAGGUACUUCUACCUUAUGAAUAAAGGCUUUCUGCAGUUUGCAGCAAAAAUAAUAAUAAUAAUAAGCUUUUCUGUAGAUAACUUGAGGUCUUAACUUCAUUGAUGAUCUUUAAAGCAUCAUCUUUUAAAAGGAAGUUACAUUUUCUAGUAUUAAAACCACAAGGAAAAAAUGCUGCUAGCAGUAAGCCAACAGCCCUAUAGCUUAUAGUCCAGGGCAGGGGUGUCCCAUCUUCUGGCUUCCCUGAGCCACACUGGAAGAAGAAUUGUCUUGGGCCAUAAAUAAAAUACACUAACACUAAUGAUAGCUGAUAAGCUGAAAACAAAUUGCAAAAAAAUCUCAUAAUGUUUUAAGAAAGUUUACAGAUUUACAUUGAGCUGCAUUCAAAGGCUUCCUGGGCCACAUGAAGCCCGUGGGCCAUGGAUUAACAAGCUUGGUCAAGGGAAUGUAGAGUACUAAAAUUAGGUAAACUGUGUUCCUUAAACUAACUUUAAUGAAGGGGCCACUUGUUUACUUAUCAUAUACAAACACCCAAAAGUCAUCAAAGGUGGAUUUAUCUUGAACCCUGUGUAAGGGGAAAACUGUUGGAAGUCCUAUCAAAUACCGUCAUAACAAAGCUAAGGCAACAAACACACAAAUUGCAUUGAAGACAAUUUUUACCCACUCUCCCAGCCUUCCCCGAACAACCACUCCCUUCAAAAAGUGCUUCCUGGGAUGUUAGCUAAAUGACCAUGCACUGUGAAAGUCCUUCCCUGUUCCUCUGACAGCAGAAGGAAUCCUAAGGCUAGAACUGAAGAAGUCAGGGGGCCAUGACAAAGUUGAAGAAAGACACCCAGGUUCCUUAUUCUUCUCCUCACCAAUUCCUUGCAACAAUGCCUGGACAGGUCGAAUACUAAGUAUCAUUCUAAAAGGAGCAUCACAGCUAGUCUCCCCACUCUGAGAACGAGAUUCUUCUCUGAGUCCCAUCAAUUUCAUAUAUCUACCAUAAAAACUAUCAAAAAGUGUUUGUUUAAUUUCAGUAUUUUUAUUGAGAAGUUUAGGUGAGAAUUUCUCAACUCUUUAUAUGAUCUAUUAAAUAAUGGAAAUCUCUACAUUGCAUAGAAUUUCCCUCUACUGCUUCCCAGAGAGAUAAUGAUUUGGCCUUGUUUUCAACGCCUUCAAUGAUGUGGAGCCCAUUUCAUUGUUAGGCAGUGCUAAUACUUGAAAGCACUUUCUUAAACUAAACUAAAUUCUGUCUUACUUUUAAUAGCAACCAUUUCUAGAGUCAUCAUGAUGUGCCAGAAACUGUUACUUGAAACAAUACUUCUACCUAAACCUCACAAAAAUCCUACAAGGUAGACAUUAUGCCACUUCCUAGCUGAAGAAAAUAAAGCUCAGGAAGCUUAAUUUUUCUGGCUAAGAUCACAGAAUACUAGCAUUUACACCAUUCUGGUUUUUCCUAAUAUGCCAUACUGCUUUCUACUUUGAAAGAAAUUAAAUUCUCAGAAAUCUAAACAUUUACAAUUAAAUAAAGUGUCAUCCUUUGAAGUGUCAUACCUUUGGGAUGUUUGCAUAUGGCCUCUCUUCACACAUCUGGAACAGCUGCUUUUAGGCAACAGGGCAAUAAAUUUUUUGUCCUCUCAGUAAAUAUGGGUGGUUUGGAAGAAAUAGACAAGUUCCUGAGUAUUAAAAUCUGUCUACAUAAAAGGAUACAUAAAUCUGAAUAAGGCUUUAUACUGUUGUGCCAG
rnacentral:lncRNA from 1 species